GAUGAAGAACGUAGCGAAAUGCGAUAAGUAAUGUGAAUUGCAGAAUUCAGUGAAUCAUCGAAUCUUUGAACGCACAUUGCGCCCCUUGGUAUUCCGAGGGGCAUGCCUGUUCGAGCGUCAUAUUAACCACUCCCGCUUGCGGGGUCUUAGGCUUCGCCUCCGGGCGGGCCUUAAAAUCAGUGGCGGUGCCGUCGGGCUCUACGCGUAGUAAAUUUUCUCGCGAUAGGGUCCCGGUGGAUGCUUGCCAACAACCCCCAACUUCUUAAGGUUGACCUCGGAUCAGGUAGGGAUACCCGCUGAACUUAAGCAUAUCAAUAAGCGGAGGA
rnacentral:misc_RNA from 1 species